rnacentral:lncRNA from 1 species
AUCCUUCUAUGACGCCUAAUGAACAAUCUGUCUUGUGAAUCGAGAGUUAUUUGGCUUGCACCCAGACAUUUAAUUCCUUUUUUUUUGUUAUUCCACUAUAGUGAUACGGGCCCCUCACUUGUUGGUUUACCUUUACUCUUCGGUUCAGAGUUUAUUCCUUCAUGGAUCCAAGAUACUUCUUCUCUUUGAUCUCAAAUUGUU